UACAGAUUUAAGCAAGCAAUUGGGAAUUUGAACUGUAUUUUAGUGAAGCUAAUAAGCAUUUUAGUUUCAUAAAAUGUACAUGAUUCUUAUAGAUGUAUAAGAAGUUUAGUGGGAGUACAUAAAAACUUAAUUGGUCCUAUGUGUAUCACACACAUAUCUCUCUAUUGUGAACUAACAUUCAAAUGCUAAUGACUUAGAUUUGAAAUUAUUCAUCAAUGAUGGACCAUGGCAAAACUUAGUACAUACUGGGUAUUAAGAUCUAUUUACAAAGAUCUUAUAUUAAUGUUUUGGAUUAAGUAAUGGCAUUUACUAAAUCAAACACGAAAGACUCCAUUGGAGAUAUUCGACCCAUGUGAAUAAAUCUAAGUAAAGAAUGUUUGAACUAUGUAUAAGCAUUUACUAAGUUAAACAUCAAAGGAUCUGUAAUCCCCCGUAAAUUUAUAAAUUUUAUCAAUAUAUUUUAACGUAUAUUAUUUAUAUUUUAAUAGAAUUUACGAAUUUUAAUAAUAAAUAUAUAAUUAACGUAUAUUUAUUUUAGUUAAUUACAUUUUUAAAUUCUUUAACGAUUUAGGAAAUCAAAAUAAUUUUAGAACUUUACAUUGAAACGAAUUCGUUUUACGAAAACAUGUUCGAUUGAAAUUAGAAAUUUGGAUUCUAACAACUUAAAUCCUACUCCUAGCCCAAGUGGGAAAAGCCCAAACCAAAAAUAAACAAAAACCCAAACCAAUACUCCCUUUCUCUUUUCAAAUUCACGUGGAAACAAGGCAAACCAAAACCCUUCCAUCCUCCUUCAAAAUCACGUACAUCAUCAAACACCCUCCUCACUGCCGUUCCUCUCUCCCGUCUUCACUUUCGUUGCUGCAGCCUCCCUCGCCGUCGGACCACCAUCACGCCACUGCAACCACCACCGCGCCACCAGCCGCGCCCAUAACGAUUGUUCGCCGCCGCACCACCAACAACCAUCGCGCGGACGCUGACACCCUCCGCCGUACUCCUCCGACCAGCGUCGCCGCCCACUGUUGCCGCGCCGCCCUGCCUGCCGGCCAGCAGCUCCCCUCUCCUCUCUUUUUUUGGCGGAGAAUUCUCUUUAGGCGACCUUUGAAAGUGUUAAAGUGACGUAUUAGUUUGUUUACACAAGUCUCUAGGGAUCAAUAAGCAUCGUCCAUUACAGGUUUGAAGGUGAUGCAUCAUGGGGUUCGGGAUUGAAGAGCUGUGUAGUUAUUAAAUUGUUUUGUUUUAAGUUUGAUGUUGAAUUUGUUUGGCCUGUUUUAAAGAGACUCGAACUUUGUUUUAAUUAAUUACGUUGACUUUGUUUUGUUGGUUGGUUUUAGAUUUUAUUCCGUAGUUGACUUAUUUAAAUUAUUAAAGUUAGUUAUUAUGUUUUCCGCUGCAAAAUUCUGAAUAAGCCGAUACGUUUUCACACGGGCGAUAAUGCCUUGA